rnacentral:rRNA from 1 species
UACGGAGGGGGCGAGCGUUAUUCGGAAUUAUUGGGCGUAAAGGGCGCGUAGGCGGCUGUACAAGUCAAAGGUGAAAUCCCCGGGCUCAACCCGGGAACUGCGUCCGAUACUGGCAGGCUUGAAUCCGGGAGAGGGAUGCGGAAUUCCAGGUGUAGCGGUGAAAUGCGUAGAUAUCUGGAGGAACACCGGUGGCGAAGGCGGCAUCCUGGACCGGCAUUGACGCUGAGGCGCGAAAGCCAGGGGAGCAAACGGG